GUCUACGGCCACGCCGCCCUGAACAAGCCCGAUCCCGUCCGAUCUCGGAAGCUAAGCAGGGUCGGGCCUGCUCAGUCCUUGGAUGGGAGACCACCUAGGAAGACCAGGUGCUGUAGGCA
rnacentral:rRNA from 1 species